rfam:Trichobilharzia regenti genome assembly, scaffold: TRE_contig0013102
AUCCAGUUGGCGAGUCCCAAAUGGGGCGAAAUACGCAUCCUGGAU